GACGAACGCUGGCGGCGUGCUUAACACAUGCAAGUCGAACGGAAAGGCCCUGCUUUUGUGGGGUGCUCGAGUGGCGAACGGGUGAGUAACACGUGAGUAACCUGCCCUUGACUUUGGGAUAACUUCAGGAAACUGGGGCUAAUACCGGAUAGGAGCUCCUGCUGCAUGGUGGGGGUUGGAAAGUUUCGGCGGUUGGGGAUGGACUCGCGGCUUAUCAGCUUGUUGGUGGGGUAGUGGCUUACCAAGGCUUUGACGGGUAGCCGGCCUGAGAGGGUGACCGGCCACAUUGGGACUGAGAGACGGCCCAGACGCCUACGGGAGGCAGCAGGGGGGAAUAUUGCACAAUGGGCGGAAGCCUGAUGCAGCGACGCCGCGUGCGGGAUGACGGCCUUCGGGUUGUAAACCGCUUUCGCCUGUGACGAAGCGUGAGUGACGGUAAUGGGUAAAGAAGCACCGGCUAACUACGUG
rnacentral:rRNA from 1 species